AAAAUCCGCUUAACAAUCCGAAGACGUGACGCGGACCGAACAAAAGUAGGGAAGCUGGAGAUUCGAACUGUCAAGAAAAGCCGCUAUUGUGUGAUAUGUGCCCGUACCGUAAACCGACACAGGUGGAUGAGGAGAGAAUCCUAAGGCCGGCGGGAGAAGCAUUGUUAAGGAACUCGGCUAAAUGACCCUGUAACUUCGGGAUAAAGGGUGCCUGCGCAAGCAGGCCGCAGAGAAUAGGCUCAAGCAACUGUUUAGCAAAAACACAGGUCUAUGCAAAACCGAAAGGUGAGGUAUAUGGGCUGACGCCUGCCCGGUGCUGGAAGGUUAAGAGGAGAGGUUAGAGCAAUCGAAGCUUUGAAUUUAAGCCCCAGUAAACGGCGGCCGUAACAAUAACGGUCCUAAGGUAGCGAAAUUCCUUGUCGGGUAAGUUCCGACCCGCACGAAAGGCGUAAUGAUUUGAGCGCUGUCUCGACAAUGCACCCGGUGAGAUUGAAAUACCAGUGAAGAUGCUGGUUACCUGCGCCAGGACGGAAAGACCCCAUGGAGCUUUACUCCAGCUUGAUACUGGGAUUCGGUUAUACAUGUACAGGAUAGGUGGGAGGCUAAGAAGUGAGGACGCCAGUCUUCACGGAGCCGCUGUUGGGAUACCACCCUCGUGUGACUGGGUUUCUAACCUGCAGCCGUGACCCGGCUGGGGGACAAUGUCAGGUGGGGAGUUUGACUGGGGCGGUCGCCUCCGAAAGGGUAUCGGAGUCGCUCAAAGGUUCCCUCAGAAUGGUUGGAAACCAUUUGCAGAGUGCAAAGGCAUAAGGGAGCUUGACUGCGAGACCGACGGGUCGAGCAGGUAGGAAACUAGGACUUAGUGAUCCGGUGGUAUAAAGUGGGAUUGCCAUCGCUCAACGGAUAAAAGCUACCCUGGGAUAACAGGCUUAUCACUCCCAAGAGUUCACAUCGACGGAGUGGUUUGGCACCUCGAUGUCGGCUCAUCGCAUCCUGGGGCUGAAGUAGGUCCCAAGGGUUGGGCUGUUCGCCCAUUAAAGCGGUACGCGAGCUGGGUUCAGAACGUCGUGAGACAGUUCGGUCCCUAUCCGGCGUGGGCGUAGGAUAUUUGAGAGGAGCUGUCCUUAGUACGAGAGGACCGGGAUGGACUGACCUCUGGUGCAUCGGUUGAGAAUCAAUCUCAUGGCCGAGUAGCCAAGUCGGGACGGGAUAAACGCUGAAGGCAUCUAAGCGUGAAGCCCCCCUCAAGAUGAGAUAUCCCAUACGCAAGUAGUAAGACCCCUUGAAGACGACGAGGUAGAUAGGGCAGAGGUGGAAGCAUGGUAACAUGUGCAGCUGACUGUCACUAAUAGGUCGAGGGCUUAACCUA
rnacentral:rRNA from 1 species